rnacentral:rRNA from 1 species
UACAGAGGUCUCAAGCGUUGUUCGGAUUCAUUGGGCGUAAAGGGUGCGUAGGUGGCGCCGUAAGUCGGGGUGUGAAAUUUCGGAGCUUAACUCCGAAACUGCAUUCGAUACUGCGGUGCUUGAGGACUGGAGAGGAGACUGGAAUUCAUGGUGUAGCAGUGAAAUGCGUAGAGAUCGUAAGGAAGACCAGUGGCGAAGGCGAGUUUCUGGACAGUAACUGACGCUGAGGCACGAAGGCCAGGGGAGCAAACGGG